AGUGAACGCUGGCGGUAGGCCUAACACAUGCAGGUCGAACGGCAGCACAGGAGAGCUUGCUCUCUGGGUGGCGAGUGGCGGACGGGUGAGGAAUACAUCGGAAUCUACUCUGUCGUGGGGGAUAACGUAGGGAAACUCACGCUAAUACCGCAUACGACCUACGGGUGAAAGCAGGUGAUCUUCGGACCUUGCGCGAUUGAAUGAGCCGAUGUCGGAUUAGCUAGUUGGCGGGGUAAAGGCCCACCAAGGCGACGAUCCGUAGCUGGUCUGAGAGGAUGAUCAGCCACACUGGAACUGAGACACGGUCCAGACUCCUACGGGAGGCAGCAGUGGGGAAUAUUGGACAAUGGGCGCAAGCCUGAUCCAGCCAUACCGCGUGGGUGAAGAAGGCCUUCGGGUUGUAAAGCCCUUUUGUUGGGAAAGAAAUCCAGCUGGCUAAUACCCGGUUGGGAUGACGGUACCCAGAGAAUAAGCACCGGCUAACUUCGUGCCAGCAGCCGCCGUAA
rnacentral:rRNA from 1 species